GAACCUUCGGGUUAGUGGCGGACGGGUGAGUAACGCGUGAGAAUCUGCCCUCAGGAGGGGGAUAACGGCUGGAAACGGCCGCUAAUACCCCAUAUGCCGAGAGGUGAAACGAAUUUCGCCUGAGGAUGAGCUCGCGUCUGAUUAGCUAGUUGGUGGGGUAAGGGCUUACCAAGGCUUCGAUCAGUAGCUGGUCUGAGAGGAUGAUCAGCCACACUGGGACUGAGACACGGCCCAGACUCCUACGGGAGGCAGCAGUGGGGAAUUUUCCGCAAUGGGCGAAAGCCUGACGGAGCAACGCCGCGUGAGGGAUGAAGGCCUCUGGGCUGUAAACCUCUUUUCUCAAGGAAGAAGAUCUGACGGUACUUGAGGAAUAAGCCACGGCUAAUUCCGUGCCAGCAGCCGCGGUAAUACGGGAGUGGCAAGCGUUAUCCGGAAUUAUUGGGCGUAAAGCGUCCGCAGGCGGCCUUGUAAGUCUGUCGUUAAAGCGUGGAGCUUAACUCCAUUUAAGCGAUGGAAACUACAGGGCUGGAGUGUGGUAGGGGCAGAGGGAAUUCCCGGUGUAGCGGUGAAAUGCGUAGAUAUCGGGAAGAACACCAGUGGCGAAGGCGCUCUGCUGGGCCAUAACUGACGCUCAUGGACGAAAGCCAGGGGAGCGAAAGGGAUUAGAUACCCCUGUAGUCCUGGCCGUAAACGAUGAACACUAGGUGUCGGGGGAAUCGACCCCCUCGGUGUCGUAGCCAACGCGUUAAGUGUUCCGCCUGGGGAGUACGCACGCAAGUGUGAAACUCAAAGGAAUUGACGGGGGCCCGCACAAGCGGUGGAGUAUGUGGUUUAAUUCGAUGCAACGCGAAGAACCUUACCAGGGUUUGACAUCCUGCGAACCCCUUGGAAACGAGGGGGUGCCUUCGGGAGCGCAGAGACAGGUGGUGCAUGGCUGUCGUCAGCUCGUGUCGUGAGAUGUUGGGUUAAGUCCCGCAACGAGCGCAACCCACGUCGUUAGUUGCCAGCAUUCAGUUGGGCACUCUAGCGAGACCGCCGGUGAUAAACCGGAGGAAGGUGUGGAUGACGUCAAGUCAUCAUGCCCCUUACAUCCUGGGCUACACACGUACUACAAUGCUACGGACAAAGGGUUGCAAACUCGCGAGAGCUAGCCAAUCCCAUAAACCGUGGCUCAGUUCAGAUCGUAGGCUGCAACUCGCCUACGUGAAGGAGGAAUCGCUAGUAAUCGCAGGUCAGCAUACUGCGGUGAAUACGUUCCCGGGCCUUGUACACACCGCCCGUCACACCAUGGAAGUUGGCCACGCCCGAAGUCGUUACUCCAACCCUUGUGGAGGAGGACGCCGAAGGUGGGGCUGAUGACUGGGGUGAAGUCGUAACAAGGUAGCCGUACCGGAAGGUGC
rnacentral:rRNA from 1 species